rnacentral:sRNA from 1 species
UUUUAAACCGGAUUGAAGGGAAGAUCCUUUUUUGCGGCCUGAGCAAUUGGGUAUUGGACAAAAGAAAGAUCGGAUCGGAAAGCCGGAAGAAAC